rnacentral:rRNA from 1 species
GACGAACGCUGGCGGCGUGCUUAACACAUGCAGGUCGAACGGUGAAAGCGGAGCUUGCUCCGCUGGAUCAGUGGCGAACGGGUGAGUAACACGUGGGCAACCUGCCCCUCACUUCGGGAUAACUCCGGGAAACCGGGGCUAAUACCGGAUAUGACCUCCUUGGGCGUCCUUGGAGGUGGAAAGUUUUUCGGUGAGGGAUGGGCCCGCGGCCUAUCAGCUUGUUGGUGAGGUAGGGGCUCACCAAGGCGACGACGGGUAGCCGGCCUGAGAGGGCGACAGGCCACACUGGGACUGAGACACGGUCCAGACUCCUACGUGAGGCAGCAGUGGGGAAUAUUGCGCAAGGGGCGAAAGCCUGACGCAGCAACGCCGCGUGCGGGAUGACGGCCUUCGGGUUGUAAACCGCUUUCAGCAGGGAAGAAGCCGCAAGGUGACGGUACCUGCAGAAGAAGCACCGGCUAACUACGUGCCAGCCGCCGCCGUAA